rnacentral:misc_RNA from 1 species
UACAGAGAGUGCAAGCGUUAAUCGGAAUUACUGGGCGUAAAGCGCGCGUAGGUGGAUACUUAAGUCGGAUGUGAAAUCCCCGGGCUCAACCUGGGAAUUGCAUUCGAUACUGGGUAUCUAGAGUAUGAUAGAGGGAAGUGGAAUUUCCGGUGUAGCGGUGAAAUGCGUAGAUAUCGGAAAGAACAUCAGUGGCGAAGGCGGCUUCCUGGAUCAAUACUGACACUGAGGUGCGAAAGCGUGGGGAGCAAACAGG